rnacentral:rRNA from 1 species
UGGGCAACCUGCCGUAUACAGGGGAAUAAUCAUUGGAAACGAUGACUAAUACCGCAUGUCACCAUUGGGAGGCAUCUCGCGAUGGGAAAAGGAGGAAUCCGGUAUACGAUGGGCCCGCAUCUGAUUAGCUAGUUGGUGAGAUAAUAGCUCACCAAGGCGACGAUCAGUAGCCGACCUGAGAGGGUGAUCGGCCACAUUGGGACUGAGACACGGCCCAAACUCCUACGGAAGGCAGCAG